GGUCGCAAGGCUGAAACUUAAAGGAAUUGGCGGGGGAGCACCGCAACCUGAGGAUUGUGCGGUUUAAUUGGAUUCAACGCCGGAAAACUCACCAUAGCCGACGGACAUAUGAAGGCCAGCGUAACGAGCUUGCCGGAUUGUUCGAGAGGUAGUGCAUGGCCGUCGUCAGUUCGUACCGCAAGGCGUUCUGUUAAGUCAGAUAACGAACGAGACCCUCAUCCCUAUUUGCUAACCCGAUCUCCGGAUCAGGCGCACUAUAGGGAGACCGCUGGCGCGAAGUCAGAGGAAGGCGAGGGCAACGGUAGGUCAGUAUGCUCCGAAUGCUAUGGGCUACACGCGCAAUACAAAGGACGGGACAAUGGGCUGCUGCUCCGAAAGGAACGAUGGCUAUCCCGAAACCCGUUCGUAGUUCGGAUUGAGGGCUGUAACUCGCCCUCAUGAAGCUGGAUUAGGUAGUAAUCGCGUCUCAAAAAGGCGCGGUGAAUAUGCCCCUGCUCCUUGCACACACCGCCCGUCAAAC
rnacentral:rRNA from 1 species